rnacentral:tRNA from 1 species
GGGGGUAUAGUUCAGUGGCAGAGCACAUGCUUGGCAUGUACAAGGUCCUGGGUUCAUACUCCAGUGCCUCUG